CCCGUCCUUGGUUGUUUUCCUGUGUGAUGACAUGCCUGCUGCUGCUGCUGCUGCUGCUGCUGCUGCUGAAGCUUAACUCCACAGCCCAAGGAAGGGGUGACGUGAACAAAAUUCAGUAUCUUGAUAGGAGCGACUGUUCUGUGGCAAACCCUUACAUGGAAUUCCUACAAGUGUUUACCAGUUCUCUUUGCCACUCUUCCUCCUCCCCAAUCUUUCUCAUCCUUUGAUUUCUUUUUCUUUUCUAAUCAAUAAUCCUCUUGGCCUGCAUUCAGCUCUGGGCUCUUCCGAGCUGUUCUCUCUUGAGAGAGUUUUCCUACUACUGCAUCAUGCCAACCAGGGGUCGUCAUCCCUUUCCUGGACUGAAGAGUUCUUUCUCAAACCCUGCCUUAGAUUCCAGCUUGUCUUCUUCAGCUGUCAAUCUGAAGGCUCAGGAUCUCCCUUCCAUGCCCACGUGCAUGUAGGGUACGUCAGAUGUGUCUCCAUGUCUUGUCUUGAUGUCUCAGAAAUUUCAUGCCUAUAAAAAAAAGGCAGAGUCAGUAAGGAGUUUUCCAGGUUCCUCCGAAACACCGGUUUCACUGUUUGACUUGCUUUUGUUUUUGUUUUUGUUUUUGUUUUUCAUUCCCAGGACUCCAGAUUUGCUGUGUGGAAGUGAUUACUGAUCUCGUGCAGAGCGGCAUGCUAGAUUCAGAACUCCUAGCUUCUCUCUUGAUCCGCUUAGUCUGAGACCUGAGAGAAUAAGAGUUGUAUCUCUCUGGGCUUCAGUCUGACGUCUUACUCAAAGCAAUGUUCUCGAGAGUUAGCAUCCAGGGACUGGGAAGAGAGCUUAAUCAGUGAAAUGCCUGCCCUGCGAGUAUGAGGAUCUGGUUUUUAUCCCAGGUCCUCUCAUAAACAACCAGGUGCAGUGUAUGCACCUGUAACCCCAAUGGGAUUGAGCUAGAGACAGGACAAUCCCUGAGGCUUCCUGGCCAGCCAGGCUAGCCAAGUCAUAACCUGCAGGUCCAGUGAGAGACUCUGUCUCAAAAACUAAGCUGGGGAGUGAUUGAAGAAGGCACCUUACAUUGAUCUUGACCUAUACGCAUACGUAUACGCAUCUCACACACACACACACACACACACACACACACACACGACCAUAUACCUACCCACCUCAAGUUGACCUUUCCACUUACAUACGUAUUUAUUCUUGCACUUACAUAGGCUGGGAGAUUUUCCUGGGGUAACCUUAAAAAUGUUCCCCAGUGGAGAAACUUACCUAGAUGAUUUUGGAAGACUUGAAGAUAAGGAGGUGUUAGAAGCAUUCAAAGUCUCUCCAGGGUGAAAGGCAGCCAUCCAUUUGCCCCGAUCAAUGCUUUAUCUUAGCCACAAGGAAGAGCUAAUCACAGACAGGCACCGACCCCAGAGUCUCUAGGGUUUAGAGUUUUCAGGACACCAGCUAUGGAAAAUAUCCUUGAGCUGAACAGGCCAGGGAUGGGCCAGCCUGGAAAGAGUUUCAUAUUGCCAAUAGCUAGCUCUGUUUACAGUUGAACAUAUGGACAGAGUUUAGAUCUGAUUGACUUUUAUCACUUGAAAAAAGAAAAGAUGAUCCAUCCAGUAAGUGGUAUAAGUGAACAUGUGCCUGUGUCUGACUUCUGUUUAUAUGACAGAGAAAUACCCCACCCCAGAAAUUUAACGUUUCUUGUGUCCUUAUCAUAACCACUGCAGCCAGUGUUCUCAAUUAGAUGUCUGAACCCACAGAACAAUGCUUUGAAGACAAUUCUUUGCCAAGUACUCAGAACAUGGCUCUCUCUCUAUAUCCUUGGCUCAGACCUACUGUUGUUGGUACUAGGGCAGUGCCUCGAACCUGCAGCAUGAAGGAGACACAUCCUGGGUCACACAGAUGAUGAGUGGAGUGCCUGAGGAUGAAAACCUGGGUCCUGCUCAUCUCUGAAAAGAAAGCCUGGGGUAGUAAUUGGACAAACCAUAUGGUCCUGAUAGUUUAUGCCACAAGUUUCCCAGGACCAAGACCAUGAAAGACAUCAAUUGGGUCUGGCAGGAUGGUUAAGUGAGUGAAGGUGCCUGCUCUUAAGACUGAUGAUCUGAGUUCAAUCCCUAGGACCUACAUUGUGGAAAAAGAGCUGAGUCCUAAAAGUGGCCCCUGGACUUCACUCAUGUAUUGCACAUGCCUCCUCCUCCUCCAUCAGUAAAUACAUCAUUGAAAAAAAAAAGAAAUACCACCAUUUCUUGGAAGGAAGAAUCAGAAUUCAAGAGUCAUACAGGAGAGAGGCACAAUUUGAGGUUUAUCUCAGGACGGUUGUUAUAGAAUUUUUCCAAGUUUGCUGAAUUUCGGAAAACUUCACAACAAAUUAUUAGAAAGAAGGGACUGU
rnacentral:lncRNA from 1 species